rnacentral:misc_RNA from 1 species
GAUGAAGAACGUAGCGAAAUGCGAUAAUUAAUGUGAAUUGCAGAAUUCCGUGAAUCAUAGAGUCUUUGAACGCACAUUGCGCCUCAUGGCAUUCCGUGAGGCAUGCCCAUCUCAGCGUUAGAAAAUAUUCUCAAAUUUUAGUUUUGUGCUAAAAUUUGGAUCAUGUCAAGGAAGCUAUUACUAUUAUUGUGAUCGCUCUUUGGAAAUUGAUAGGUCUUUGAGUUGCUACUCAUAGAACGUGAUGAAUCUUUCUUCGUUCUAUUGUAAUUCACUCUGGUAGUCCUAAAACUUGUAUGCCUGUGGCAUAUCUUGUAAUUUGACCUGAGAUUGGGUAGGGAUACCCGCUGAACUUAAGCAUAUCAAUAAGCGGAGGA